AAUCGCACGCAGUGCGGUCACUUACUUUGAAAGAUUGAGUCACUGCGUAAGCUCGGCAAAACCGCACUCAAAAAUCACAAGUUCUCCCUACCCGGCAAGCAGCAGAUGCGGUGUGCCGGGGCACCGCAAACGAGGACGACUUGUGCACUAGAAUUUUGAUAACCCUUGGAGACUUGCGUCGAUUCGGCAUGAUUGGUUGGCGAGUUGUUGAAAAUCGAGACAAACGACAAAAAUUCCUCGGAUAUUCAGAAUCGCACCGAUUCUGCUGCAGGACUGCGCAACCGCAAACGACUCGGAUGGUGUUCAAGAUAAAACUGAGUUGAAUCUCCUGGCCCUGGAGCGGGAUCGGGGGCGAGACAAACGCUGCGCAAAGCACGUGGUGAUGUCGUAUACGCGCCCUCGCGGCGACGCUUUUUACACGGAGAAUUCAACGACUUGUCGACUGCAAGUUUGAUAUACGCCUAUACACAUGCGGUACAGUCCAUACAUGUACGAAUUCGUACGUAACUCGGGGUUCUCGGGAUCGGCUUCGACGCAGGAGUGCAAUGGAUAGUUUUUUUCUACCUGAUGCGUCGCAAACGUGCAUGGGAAGUUGCGCAUAAAGCAGGUGUCUAAGCCCUGGAGAAUCACGUUUUCUCAGUAUUUUCACAUAUUACACAAAGUUGAAUCGAGAAGCUUAUUUAUGCAUCAUAUCAUUCGAGAGCCGGUGCCGCGAUACAAUGGAUACCAGCACUACGAUUUUGUCUAAUAUUACACUUUGGCAAAAUUAAGCAUCACGUAUUAACGUUAUAUAUAUACUUAAUAUAUUGUGUACGUUACUCGGUAAAUGUCGCAGAGCUGCGGUGAACAAAGUUCUGAGAUCCGAUAGCGUUAUAUUGUACCUAUAAUACCUAGAAUAAGUUCAAUUUAUACAUGAGAUUUUGUGUAACAAGCCCAUUGCCAGGAUAUCCUGGUCCAGUUUAAUAAGAUUUAAUGAUAAGGUGAAAAAUAGUAUAUCGUGGAUACGGUUGAUUGCAUGUAGUUUAUUCAUAAACGACAAUAUAGUGGCAGAUAAAUGCCAGCGGAUGUGAGAUAUCCACGGACUGAAGAUAAGACGAAAAUUUUCGGGGUCGUAUUCAUAAUAUUGUACAUGAAUAUAUGCAUGGAAGGUCCAACCUACUCGUUAAUAUAAUCUCAGUCGGAAUUCUAUGAACCGUUUGGCACUUUAUCUCGAUCACUCAUACGUACUGCAUCGGGCAUAUAAUGAGCAACAGUCGAGAUUAUACGGGGUACAUGGUACAAACGAAUGCUACGAAUGACAAAUUACCGCAAGAAUACAUCUGCAGAUAUAUCUGCUCCUGCAACAUAUACCCCGAUCCCUACCUACCUACACUUUUGAGUUUCACACAAGCAGAGUUUAUCCCAUUCUCUAACUUUACAAUUUCAAUGUACAUCUGCGGCUUACGUAGGCUUACUUUUCUAACAACCGCUGGCUAAUUGUAAGAACUACAAGGACAUUUCUGGUGACUAACCGGAAGUAUUAUAAGGAAUUAAUUUUGGAAAAUAGAUAUGAUGAGAAAAGAAUAUAAGUGCUUAUUAAA